GUAUAUCUUCUUUCUCCCCAAUUCUUUCCAAAGAAAUUACUGAUGCUGAGGAAGAUCCUGAGGAUAAAGCAACAAACAUUCUCUGUCAGCAUGGAAGAACCUUUGCUCCAAGCUCUAGGAUUGCCUCAUCAGCUGUUUCAGGACUCACUCUUAGCUAAAGAGAACCCCAUCACUUGUAGACACCUCUCCUUUCCUGCAGGCAGUCUGGAACCAGUGACAUUAAAGACCUGAACCCUGCACCUCAUCUUGGGACAAUUCUAAGGGCUACCUGAGUUCCACAUAUUAUCAAGGACUCAGCUGAAUCUUUUGUCUUAAAUCAUUUUUCAGAUGGAAAACU
rnacentral:lncRNA from 1 species